rnacentral:rRNA from 1 species
AUUGAACGCUGGCGGCAGGCCUAACACAUGCAAGUCGAGCGGAUGAAGGGAGCUUUCUCCUGGAUUCAGCGGCGGACGGGUGAGUAAUGCCUAGGAAUCUGCCUGGUAUUGGGGGAUAACGUCCGGAAACGGGCGCUAAUACCGCAUACGUCCUUAUGUAGAACGUGGGGGAUCUUCGGACCUCACGCUAUCAGAUGAUCCUAGGUCGGAUUAGCUAGUUGGUGGGUUAAAGGCCUACCAAGGCGACGAUCCGUAGCUGGUCUGAGAGGAUGAUCUGUCACACUGGAACUGAGACACGGUCAAGACUCCUACGGGAGGCAGCAGUGGGGAAUAUUGGACAAUGGGCGAAAGCCUGAUCCAGCCAUGCGGCGUGUGUGAAGAAGGUCUUCGGAUUGUAAAGCACUUUAAGUUGGGAGGAAGGGCAGUAAGUUAAUACCUUGCUGUUUUGACGUUACCAACAGAAUAAGCACCGGCUAACUUCGUG